CCCGACUGCUAUCAGAGUGAGACUAAGCCAUGCGAGUCAACGUAUGAAUAAUACGUGGCGAACGGCUCAGUAACACGUAGUCAACAUGCCCAAAGGACGUGGAUAACCUCGGGAAACUGAGGAUAAACCGCGAUAGGUCAUAAGUACUGGAAUGUUUUAUGGCUCAAAUCUACAUGGCCUCUGGAUUGGACUGCGGCCGAUCAGGCUGUUGGUGAGGUAAUGGCCCACCAAACCUGUUACCGGUACGGGCUCUGAGAGGAGGAGCCCGGAGAUGGGCACUGAGACAAGGGCCCAGGCCCUAUGGGGCGCAGCAGGCGCGAAACCUCUGCAAUAGGCGAAAGCUUGACAGGGUUACUCUGAGUGAUUCCCGCUAAGGGAAUCUUUUGGCAUCUCUAAAAACGAUGCAGAAUAAGGGGUGGGCAAGUCUGGUGUCAGCCGCCGCGGUAAUACCAGCACCCCGAGUGGUCGGGACGAUUAUUGGGCCUAAAGCAUCCGUAGCCGGUCUUGCAAGUCUUCCGUUAAAUCCACCUGCUUAACAGAUGGGCUGCGGAAGAUACUACAAGACUAGGAGGCGGGAGAGGCAAGCGGUACUCAGUGGGUAGGGGUAAAAUCCUCUGAUCCAUUGAAGACCACCAGUGGCGAAGGCGGCUUGCCAGAACGCGCUCGACGGUGAGGGAUGAAAGCUGGGGGAGCAAACCGGAUUAGAUACCCGGGUAGUCCCAGCUGUAAACGAUGCAGACUCGGUGAUGGGCCGGCUUCAUGCCGGCUCAGUGCCGCAGGGAAGCCGUUAAGUCUGCCGCCUGGGGAGUACGGUCGCAAGACUGAAACUUAAAGGAAUUGGCGGGGGAGCACCACAAGGGGUGAAGCCUGCGGCUC
rnacentral:rRNA from 1 species